GCAAUCGCAUAGCGAUGCGAUAUCGUCAAAAUUAAGCCCCUGUUAGCGCGGAUGUGUAUGAUAUUUUCUCUUUGUGAUUGUCCUCCCGUGCGAUGAAAAAUAUGUCAUCGUAUUGCACAGGACUUUCGCGAGCUACCGAUACCAUUUUCGUGCCCCAAAUUCCAUGAAAUCUUCCGAAAAUAAACAUGAAAGUGUCGAAUACCAGAUGCCAUCAUGAAUAACCUCACCACCAGGUUGAACUCCUAAACAUCUUGAUGAUGACUAUCUCCCGAGAUAUAUCUUGCCUUCUUGAGAUUGGAAGUUUUAAGUUCAAGUCAGAGCGACCUAAGGCCCUACUACCAAGAAGAAUCCAGAUUUACAUAAAAACAAAUCCCACGAAAGAUACAAACUGAUUUUACUAUUAAUGUGUAGUGUGUGUGUGAGACACUGUUUGUGUUUAUUUUGAUGAGGAUCUCCUGUCUCUUUUUAUUAUUUCAUUGACUGAAUGAAUGAUCAAUACCUAAAAUUUUGGCGGUUCCCCCCUAAAAUUUUUGGCUUCCGCCGCCAAUGCCAGGAAUGAUGAUGUUCAACUGAGAGUCGCUGAAGUGGAACUUGUUGCAGAGAAUGAUUAUUCCAGGACAAGUUAGAUGAUAUUACCCAGCCCAUACAUCACAACAAUGGAAGGGAGACAAUAUACCCCUGUACUACGUGAAGUAUCAUAUUAUCUUCAG